rnacentral:rRNA from 1 species
GCCUGGCUCAGAUUUGACGCUGGCGGCAGGCCUAACACAUGCAAGUCGAGCGGAUGAAGGGAGCUUGCUCCUGGAUUCAGCGGCGGACGGGUGAGUAAUGCCUAGGAAUCUGCCUGGUAGUGGGGGAUAACGUCCGGAAACGGGCGCUAAUACCGCAUACGUCCUGAGGGAGAAAGUGGGGGAUCUUCGGACCUCACGCUAUCAGAUGAGCCUAGGUCGGAUUAGCUAGUUGGUGGGGUAAAGGCCUACCAAGGCGACGAUCCGUAACUGGUCUGAGAGGAUGAUCAGUCACACUGGAACUGAGACACGGUCCAGACUCCUACGGGAGGCAGCAGUGGGGAAUAUUGGACAAUGGGCGAAAGCCUGAUCCAGCCAUGCCGCGUGUGUGAAGAAGGUCUUCGGAUUGUAAAGCACUUUAAGUUGGGAGGAAGGGCAGUAAGUUAAUACCUUGCUGUUUUGACGUUACCAACAGAAUAAGCACCGGCUAACUUCGUGCCAGCAGCCGCGGUAAUACGAAGGGUGCAAGCGUUAAUCGGAAUUACUGGGCGUAAAGCGCGCGUAGGUGGUUCAGCAAGUUGGAUGUGAAAUCCCCGGGCUCAACCUGGAACUGCAUCCAAAACUACUGAGCUAGAGUACGGUAGAGGGUGGUGGAAUUUCCUGUGUAGCGGUGAAAUGCGUAGAUAUAGGAAGGAACACCAGUGGCGAAGGCGACCACCUGGACUGAUACUGACACUGAGGUGCGAAAGCGUGGGGAGCAGACAGGAUUAGAUACCCUGGUAGUCCACGCCGUAAACGAUGUCGACUAGCCGUUGGGAUCCUUGAGAUCUUAGUGGCGCAGCUAACGCGAUAAGUCGACCGCCUGGGGAGUACGGCCGCAAGGUUAAAACUCAAAUGAAUUGACGGGGGCCCGCACAAGCGGUGGAGCAUGUGGUUUAAUUCGAAGCAACGCGAAGAACCUUACCUGGCCUUGACAUGCUGAGAACUUUCCAGAGAUGGAUUGGUGCCUUCGGGAACUCAGACACAGGUGCUGCAUGGCUGUCGUCAGCUCGUGUCGUGAGAUGUUGGGUUAAGUCCCGUAACGAGCGCAACCCUUGUCCUUAGUUACCAGCACCUCGGGUGGGCACUCUAAGGAGACUGCCGGUGACAAACCGGAGGAAGGUGGGGAUGACGUCAAGUCAUCAUGGCCCUUACGGCCAGGGCUACACACGUGCUACAAUGGUCGGUACAAAGGGUUGCCAAGCCGCGAGGUGGAGCUAAUCCCAUAAAACCGAUCGUAGUCCGGAUCGCAGUCUGCAACUCGACUGCGUGAAGUCGGAAUCGCUAGUAAUCGUGAAUCAGAAUGUCACGGUGAAUACGUUCCCGGGCCUUGUACACACCGCCCGUCACACCAUGGGAGUGGGUUGCUCCAGAAGUAGCUAGUCUAACCGCAAGGGGGACGGUUACCACGGAGUGAUUCAUGACUGGGGUGAAGUCGUAACAAGGUAGCCGU